UGACAGCAGAGACGACUGUGUUGAGAGAGGAGCUCACCUGGUGAUCAUAACCAGCGAGUAGGAACAGAAAUUCAUCACUAAUCUGAACUGGUAUGGAGAUUCAUGGAUCGGUCUACAGCCUGUAUAUGAACAAUGGAGAUAUACAUGGAAAUGGUUGGAUGGAUCAGCAUUGACACAAGGGUGAGAGGGUUUGUCUUUCUAUCACAGUGUCAGAAACCAACAGAACCAAGUGUUAAAGGUAGGACAGCAACACAUGGUGAAAUGAUUGGAUCAGUGUUUGUUGUUUAACAGCCCCCAGAUGUUGAAUCAAAUAAAAGAAAGUAAGAAAAAAUCCUUGUUUAGACAAAGAGCUGGACAUGAACUCUCUUCACCUUCAGUCCGUGAUGAGGUCGAGAAACAGAGUUUGAAGGAGUCAGGAUUCAGAAACGGUUCAAACCACUGGUCACAGUUCAGCUUAUUGAAUGUUUGCUGCCGUCUGUGUCCUCAGACAGAACAAACAUGGUGGAAGUAAAGAAACCAAACUGGUUCUGAGCUUCAGAAGUCACACAGAUGUGACUGCAGCUCCUUCAGCUGUAGCCCAGCAUGAAGGACGACCUGUCUCUUCUCUGCUGGGUCUAAAGCUCAGGACAUAAGAAGGACAAAGCUGAACAUGACCAUCAGUCCAGGGAUGGAUGAAGAGAGCAGCUUUCCAACUAGUUUGUUCUGCUGGCAAACUGAGGUUCUGCAACACAAAUCCCUGUGAGCCCCAAAGUCUUUUCCUCAUCAACAGCCAUUUAAAACUGCUGUGUGUCAAAGUGCUGACAACACAGCUCACACAGCAGGAGGGCAGCUACUGCUCCCUCAUCAUCACCUUUUAAAGCAUUAAGACCCAACCUGUGUAAAACCCACUGGGCUCAGGCAGAGAAACACCACUGAGCUGAACAACCAGGAGUCAGACCUGGAAGAGAAAAAAUGUGGUGGAGUACGAGCAGAGGAACGUUCACUGGAAUGAACGGACGCCAUCUCUGAGUCCUGGAUUCAGGUUUCAUAAUACAGCUGGGACCAGACCUAUACCCACAAUCCUUUGUGUUGAGCUGUUUGCAAAUC